CGAACCGCGGCGGGAGAGUCCCGCACACAGCGGGCGCCGAAGGAGCAACCUCCCCGGGAAUCUCUCAGGCCCCCAGACCGCCGCGGCGAG
rnacentral:ncRNA from 2 species